rnacentral:rRNA from 1 species
ACGCUGGCGGCGUGCCUAAUACAUGCAAGUCGAACGCUUCUUUUUCCACCGGAGCUUGCUCCACCGGAAAAAGAGGAGUGGCGAACGGGUGAGUAACACGUGGGUAACCUGCCCAUCAGAAGGGGAUAACACUUGGAAACAGGUGCUAAUACCGUAUAACAAUCAAAACCGCAUGGUUUUGAUUUGAAAGGCGCUUUCGGGUGUCGCUGAUGGAUGGACCCGCGGUGCAUUAGCUAGUUGGUGAGGUAACGGCUCACCAAGGCCACGAUGCAUAGCCGACCUGAGAGGGUGAUCGGCCACAUUGGGACUGAGACACGGCCCAAACUCCUACGGGAGGCAGCAGUAGGGAAUCUUCGGCAAUGGACGAAAGUCUGACCGAGCAACGCCGCGUGAGUGAAGAAGGUUUUCGGAUCGUAAAACUCUGUUGUUAGAGAAGAACAAGGAUGAGAGUAACUGUUCAUCCCUUGACGGUAUCUAACCAGAAAGCCACGGCUAACUACGUGCCAGCAGCCGCGGUAAUACGUAGGUGGCAAGCGUUGUCCGGAUUUAUUGGGCGUAAAGCGAGCGCAGGCGGUUUCUUAAGUCUGAUGUGAAAGCCCCCGGCUCAACCGGGGAGGGUCAUUGGAAACUGGGAGACUUGAGUGCAGAAGAGGAGAGUGGAAUUCCAUGUGUAGCGGUGAAAUGCGUAGAUAUAUGGAGGAACACCAGUGGCGAAGGCGGCUCUCUGGUC